rnacentral:rRNA from 1 species
GAUGAAGGGUGGUAUGCUUAACACAUCCAAGUCGAACGGAACUCUACGGAGUUUAAUGGCGGACGGGAGAGUAACGCGCGAGAAUGUGCCUUUAGGACGAGGACCACAGCUGGAAACGGCUGCUAAAACCCGAUGUGCCCUUCGGGGUGAAAUAUUUAUAGCUUGAAGAUGAGCUCGCGUCUGAUUAGCUAGUAGGUGAGGUAAUGGCUCACCUAGGCGACGAUCAGUAACUGGUCUGAGAGGAUGACCAGUCACACUGGGACUGAGACACGGCCCAGACUCCUACGGGAGGCAGCAGUGGGGAAUUUUCCGCAAUGGGCGCAAGCCUGACGGAGCAAUACCGCGUGAGGGAGGAAGGCUCUUGGGUCGUAAACCUCUUUUAUCAGGGAAGAACACAAUGACGGUACCUGAUGAAUCAGCAUCGGCUAACUCUGUGCCAGCAGCCGCGGUAAUACAGAGGAUGCAAGCGUUAUCCGGAAUUAUUGGGCGUAAAGCGUCCGCAGGUGGUUUUGGUAGUCUGCUGUCAAAGCGCGAGGCUCAACUUCGUAUCGGCGGUGGAAACUCCAAGACUAGAGCUAGGUAGGGGUCACGGGAAUUCCCAGUGUAGCGGUGAAAUGCGUAGAUAUUGGGAAGAACACCAGCGGCGAAAGCGCGUGACUGGGCCUGAGCUGACACUCAUGGACGAAAGCUAGGGGAGCGAAAGGGAUUAGAUACCCCUGUAGCCCUAGCCGUAAACGAUGACAACUAGGUGUUGCCCG